rnacentral:rRNA from 1 species
GAUGAACGCUGGCGGCGUGCCUAAUACAUGCGAGUCGAGCGAACGGACGAGAAGCUUGCUUCUCUGAUGUUAGCGGCGGACGGGUGAGUAACACGUGGAUAACCUACCUAUAAGACUGGGAUAACUUCGGGAAACCGGAGCUAAUACCGGAUAAUAUUUUGAACCGCAUGGUUCAAAAGUGAAAGACGGUCUUGCUGUCACUUAUAGAUGGAUCCGCGCUGCAUUAGCUAGUUGGUAAGGUAACGGCUUACCAAGGCAACGAUGCAUAGCCGACCUGAGAGGGUGAUCGGCCACACUGGAACUGAGACACGGUCCAGACUCCUACGGGAGGCAGCAGUAGGGAAUCUUCCGCAAUGGGCGAAAGCCUGACGGAGCAACGCCGCGUGAGUGAUGAAGGUCUUUGGAUCGUAAAACUCUGUUAUUAGGGAAGAACAUAUGUGUAAGUAACUGUGCACAUCUUGACGGUACCUAAUCAGAAAGCCACGGCUAACUACGUG